CCUACGGGAGGCAGCAGUGGGGAAUAUUGGACAAUGGGGGCAACCCUGAUCCAGCCAUGCCGCGUGUGUGAAGAAGGCCCUCGGGUUGUAAAGCACUUUCAGUGAGGAAGAACGCCUGGUGGUUAAUACCCAUCAGGAAAGACAUCACUCACAGAAGAAGCACCGGCUAACUCCGUGCCAGCAGCCGCGGUAAUACGGAGGGUGCGAGCGUUAAUCGGAAUUACUGGGCGUAAAGCGCGCGUAGGUGGCUUGAUAAGCCGGUUGUGAAAGCCCCGGGCUCAACCUGGGAACGGCAUCCGGAACUAUCAAGCUAGAGUGCAGGAGAGGAAGGUAGAAUUCCCGGUGUAGCGGUGAAAUGCGUAGAGAUCGGGAGGAAUACCAGUGGCGAAGGCGGCCUUCUGGACUGACACUGACACUGAGGUGCGAAAGCGUGGGUAGCAAACAGGAUUAGAUACCCCUGUAGUC
rnacentral:rRNA from 1 species